GGGGGCAACCCUNAUCCAGCAAUGCCGCGUGAGUGAAGAAGGCCUUCGGGUUGUAAAGCUCUUUUGUCAGGGAAGAAACACCGGNUNUAACACAGUCCGGGAAUGACGGUACCUGAAGAAUAAGCACCGGCUAACUACGUGCCAGCAGCCGCGGUAAUACGUAGGGUGCGAGCGUUAAUCGGAAUUACUGGGCGUAAAGCGUGCGCAGGCGGUUAUACAAGACAGGCGUGAAAUCCCCGGGCUUAACCUGGGAAUGGCGCCUGUGACUGUAUAGCUAGAGUGUGUCAGAGGGGGGUAGAAUUCCACGUGUAGCAGUGAAAUGCGUAGAUAUGUGGAGGAAUACCAAUGGCGAAGGCAGCCCCCUGGGAUAACACUGACGCUCAUGCACGAAAGCGUGGGGAGCAAACAGGAUUAGAUACCCUGGUAGUCCACGCCCUAAACGAUGCUGACUAGUUGUUNGGGAUUUACAUCCUGAGUAACG
rnacentral:rRNA from 1 species